CCAGACUCCUACGGGAGGCAGCAGUGGGGGAUAUUGCACAAUGGGGGAAACCCUGAUGCAGCGACGCCGCGUGAGUGAAGAAGUAUUUCGGUAUGUAAAGCUCUAUCAGCAGGGAAGAAAAUGACAGUACCUGACCAAGAAGCACCGGCUAACUCCGUGCCAGCAGCCGCGGUAAUACGGAGGGUGCAAGCGUUAAUCGGAAUUACUGGGCGUAAAGGGAGCGUAGACGGCAGCACAAGUCUGGAGUGAAAUCCCGGGGCUUAACCCCGGAACUGCUUUGGAAACUGUGCGGCUGGAGUGCAGGAGGGGUAAGCGGAAUUCCUAGUGUAGCGGUGAAAUGCGUAGAUAUUAGGAGGAACACCGGUGGCGAAGGCGGCUUACUGGACUGUAACUGACGUUGAGGCUCGAAAGCGUGGGGAGCAAACAGGAUUAGAUACCCGGGUA
rnacentral:rRNA from 1 species